CCUACGGGUGGCAGCAGUGAGGAAUAUUGGUCAAUGGGCGCGAGCCUGAACCAGCCAAGUAGCGUGAAGGAUGACUGCCCUACGGGUUGUAAACUUCUUUUAUAAAGGAAUAAAGUGAGGCACGAGUGCCGUGUUGUAGGUACGUGAUGAAUAAGGAUAGGCUAACUCUGGGCCAGCAGCCGCGGUAAUACGGAGGAUCCGAGCGUUAUCCGGAUUUAUUGGGUUUAAAGGGAGCGGAGAGGGGUUGUUAAGGCAGUUGUGAAAGUUUGCGGCUCCACCAUAAACUUGCAAUUGAUACUGGCAGUCUUGAGUACCGUUGAUGUAGGCGGAAUUCGUGUUGUAGCGGUGAACUGCUUCGCUCUCACGCAGAACUCCGAUUGCGAAGGCAGCUUACUAACCUGCCACUGACAUUGAUGCUCGACCGUGUGGGUAUCAACCAGGAUUAGAUACCCCUGUAGUC
rnacentral:rRNA from 1 species